UAUGUGGCGCUACUCUUGAUUUUAUAACUUUCAAAUUAUAUCUUUUACAUGGAUGCAUUUUUGUUCCUAUUGUUUUGACUAAUUAACUCCUGUGAUAUUCAAUGCCAAAGCACACUUGAUACUGCUUUGGUAGUAACGCUACUUGGCUCUUCUUUGCCAACUUGCCACUCUAUUACUUUUAUGAAAUGGCUUCGCCCAAGGGAAUUAGCAUAUUUUGGAAUAGUAAUUGGAAUGCAAAGGGGAGUGAAACAAAGUCCAUUCUUUUAUGAAUUUAGGUAGGGAAAGUCGAAGAAUGUGCAAUAUAAAGGGCCCAAUGGAGACUUGGCUGCUAUGGUUCAAAGGGAUGUCUUGGAGACCAAUCCUAGUGUUAGAUAGGAUGAUGUGGUUGGGUUGAGCGAAGCAAAAAGACUUUUAGAAGUAGCUGUGGUUCUUCCACUGUGGAUGCCUGAGUAUUUGCAGCACUUUCAGCUAUUGGAAGUGGGUAUGCUGUCUAGGUCUUUCUGCAUGUCUCUUGUUUCCAUCUGUGUUGGGAAGAUCACCAAGCAAGGGGCAAGUAGCUUCUUAUGUCCCAACACCCGUAAGGUAGUUCUCUUCAUUUUAUUACUCUACUGUUGCAUGUGAGUUGAUUUUUCCUCUGUUAUAGUAUUUACAGUUUUGUAAAGUAAUUAUUUUUAUUCAGUGAACUAACUAGGGAAUGUAAUAUUUGAGAGAAAAAAUUAG